AUUGAACGCUGGCGGCAUGCUUUACACAUGCAAGUCGAACGGUAACAGGCCUUCGGGUGCUGACGAGUGGCGAACGGGUGAGUAAUGCAUCGGAACGUGCCCAGAGGUGGGGGAUAACGCAGCGAAAGCUGUGCUAAUACCGCAUGUGAUCUGAGGAUGAAAGCGGGGGACCAGGCAGCAAUGUUUGGCCUCGCGCCUUUGGAGCGGCCGAUGUCAGAUUAGGUAGUUGGUGGGGUAAAGGCCUACCAAGCCGACGAUCUGUAGCUGGUCUGAGAGGACGACCAGCCACACGGGGACGGAGACACGGCCCAGACUCCUACGGGAGGCAGCAGUGGGGAAUUUUGGACAAUGGGCGCAAGCCUGAUCCAGCAAUGCCGCGUGCGGGAAGAAGGCCUUCGGGUUGUAAACCGCUUUUGUACGGAACGAAAAGGCUCUGGCUAAUACCUGGGGCUGAUGACGGUACCGUAAGAAUAAGCACCGGCUAACUACGUG
rnacentral:rRNA from 1 species